GAUGAAGAACGUAGCGAAAUGCGAUAAGUAGUGUGAAUUGCAGAAUUCAGUGAAUCAUCGAAUCUUUGAACGCACAUUGCGCCCCUCGGUAUUCCGUGGGGCAUGCCUGUUCGAGCGUCAUCUACACCCUCAAGCUCUGCUUGGUGUUGGGCGUCUGUCCCGCCUCCGCGCGUGGACUCGCCCCAAAUUCAUUGGCAGCGGUCCUUGCCUCCUCUCGCGCAGCACAUUGCGCUUCUUGAGGGGCUCCGGUUCGCGUCCAACAAGCACAUUUACCGUCUUUGACCUCGGAUCAGGUAGGGAUACCCGCUGAACUUAAGCAUAUCAAUAAGCGGAGGA
rnacentral:misc_RNA from 1 species